UUUCCUUUCCAUCGCAAACUGAUUUAGAAGCAAAACUUUCUACAUUUAGGCAGCGAGAGGCUCAGCUUCUCUUUUCUCUCUCUUGCACCAGCGGGCCCGGAAGGACGGUGACCAUUUCCCAUCACAUUUCCUCUCCCCUCCACCACCAGGAACAGCCGUGGAGUUGCAGUGAGCAGCGCGCAUCCCUCCCUGCAGCGCUGCAUGGGAUGCAGCACAUGAUUCAGCCCCACUGGGUAAACAGCCUCUUCCUGCUGCAGGGAAAGUCCCGGCCGCAUCGGAGCCCUGUGGCUGUGGGGUGGAAGCUGCUCUCGCUGCUCUCGCUGCGUUUGGGACGGGUUUGGGGCGAGAUGCAGCACCUGGAGCUCGGCUGCGUCCUCUGACUGCUGCCCAGCGCCUCAGUUUCCCCACUCAGGCUCACGCUCCCACGCUGGGUUUGCUCCAAGCUCUGUGCCAUGGGGGCAUGAAAUCAGCGAGGGCAGCGUGCGAGGAGAAAACCCGACUCUCGGGAUGAAAGCCUAAUUAAAGAGCUAAUUACAGGGGAGGUCCGGCUGUGCGGCCGGCAGGCAGA